UUUGAGCAGAGAAAUAAGAAAAGUAUCCAAACCACUUCAUUUUUAAUCUGUCUCUCACAUGUUCCAUGUUCCUGCAAAUAUACUACCUAGUGCAUACUGACUAGCGCAUAUGAGUUAGUACUUGAACGUGGUUGCUUGUUUGACGGAAAUCAAUGGACAGACUAUAUGUAGUUAUCAUUUUAUAACACAGACUCGUUUUUCUCUAUAUCUUUCCUUCUGAGAAAUCUCAAACCCAUAGAUCUAUUUUAUUUCCGAGAAAUCACAGGAAUCAAAACCUUCACUUGUAACCAAAUUAAAACAUAUACUCAUAAUCAAAACCCAAAGUUGAAAAUCUAGAAAACCAAAUAAAAACCCAAAAUAUCCAUUUAAAACCUAGAAAAUCAAUUUGUUCGUGAAAUCGAAAAUCAAUUCAUCCAUAGUUGAUUUCUUUGUUGAUUUUCAAGAAGUUUUGUAGAGUAAAAUUGCGUCUCUAAGGACUUGAAAGGUAUUGACAUAUUGUGCACUAAACUUGUUCAUCGCAGAGAAAGGUCAAUGGAACAAAUGCAAAGCACAUAAAGGUACGACAUCACAGCAAAAUAUAGGAGUGCCCAUCAAUUAUGGCGGUAACAAGCAGGUCAAAGUUACAGAACGAAGGAUGUUUCUUCGGCUUUGGGUGCUGCUAUGGAACACAUUGGAGAAGAAAACGAAUGUGAUAUCACUCUUUUGUUCUCGAAGAUAAUAAAGGAUAUGUUUGUAUGAUAUGUUCGCUGAUUGGAAAAAGCAUUGAAUGAUACGUUCCUUUUGCUAGAACCAAGACUAGCAGAACUAGCUAAUGCGUUGGAUCAAUAUUUUGGUGUGUCUGAGAUAUCAGUGCAUCCGAGGCACAUGAAGCCUCACCAAAUUCAAGGUUUCAACUUCUUGCUUAGAAACGCAGUCAAUGAAGGUGAUGCCCAGUCAUUAUGUGAGGCAAUUGCAGGUCAUGUUUCUGUCUUAUCGACCAUUUUGUAUUUUCAAAUUCAGAAACUUGGGUUCUUGACAAAAGUUAGUACAAUCUUUGAAUCAACCAAAUAAUUGUAUGGGUUUAUGAUAGUCAUCUGUUAAAUUCUUAUAAGGAAUUCAUAAAUUGCAAGUUGAUACGAAUAUAUAUGUAUAGUUCUAUAUUGUGAUAAUCAACCAUAUGUUUGUGAUCA